CCUACGGGAGGCAGCAGUGGGGAAUAUUGGGCAAUGGGCGCAAGCCUGACCCAGCAACGCCGCGUGAAGGAAGAAGGCUUUCGGGUUGUAAACUUCUUUUGUCAGGGACGAAGCAAGUGACGGUACCUGACGAAUAAGCCACGGCUAACUACGAGCCAGCAGCCGCGGUACUACGGAGGUGGCAAGCGUUAUCCGGAUUUAUUGGGUGUAAAGGGCGUGUAGGCGGGAAUGCAAGUCAGAUGUGAAAUUUAUGGGCUCAACCCAUGGCCUGCAUUUGAAACUGUAUUUCUUGAGUGCUGGAGAGGCAAUCGGAAUUCCGGGUGUAGCGGUGAAAUGCGUAGAUAUACGGAGGAACACCAGUGGCGAAGGCGGAUUGCUGGACAGUAACUGACGCUGAGGCGCGAAAGCGUGGGGAGCAAACAGGAUUAGAUACCCCUGUAGUC
rnacentral:rRNA from 1 species